ACUUUCACAUCGAGUCGGCAGUUGUUUUUACACUUCUCUCGCGUUUAGUUGGCAAAUUUUAAAUUAAGUGAAUUAAUAUAAAGAACGCCGACUUGCGGGAAUAUAUAAUUUUUCUAUUAUUACAUUGCUUACAUUUUAAAACAUUGUGAAUAUUAAAAGAUAUAAAAAUAAUAUAGUGUGGUCUAUCAAGGAAUAUCGCACCUAUUUAAGUAGAGAAUAAAAAUUGUACAUAAAACCAAGGUCAGUGAAUAGGAUACCAAAUUGAAAGCAAGAUUUCGCUAAAGCAGUGCAAAUAAAGGAACGUCAAAGAGAUUUAUGUUCGAGUCAAAUUUCUGUAAAGACCGCUAAAAUCUUGGAAACAGUAGGAAAAACGGAAUUCCAUUGCAUAAAAUAGUGAAGUAAAAUACAUAAAUUUGAUAACGCAGAUCAUAAUUGCUGCGGUGUACGUGUGUGUGCGGUUAUUUAUUUAGACUGUUUGGAAUUUUUGCAAAAAUUCCACGUGAAUGUCUUCACAAUCGUCGGCCCGUUAUUUACCAAUAACCAAAAUGGACAAUCCCGCUCUGUCUGGGUCCAGUGGUGAUGUGGAAGCCGAUAGUAAUUCUGUGGAAGCUAGUCUACCCGCCACCUGUUCGUCGCAGCAAUUAAUGCCUCCAAAUUCAGACACGGAUAGCGUUGUUGUGCAACCGCCAACUACCGGCAUCACGAGAACACAAUGGUUCACAGUUGUGGUGUUGUGCUUUGUAAAUUUAAUCAACUAUAUGGAUCGCUUUACUAUAGCAGGUGUUUUAACAGAUAUUCAAGCAGAUUUUAAAAUUGGUGACGAUGAUGGCGGUCUGCUGCAGACCGCUUUUGUGCUCUCAUAUAUGGUUUGUGCGCCACUUUUUGGUUACCUCGGCGAUCGUUACUCGCGUCGUUGGAUUAUGGCUAUCGGUGUUCUGCUAUGGUCGACAACAACGUUGCUUGGCUCAUUUAUGGGCGGCUUCGGUGGUUUCAUCACAUUCCGCGCGUUAGUGGGUAUCGGCGAAGCCUCGUAUAGUACCAUAGCGCCCACCAUUAUCUCCGAUUUGUUCAUACACGAUUUGCGUUCGAAAAUGUUGGCGUUAUUCUAUUUCGCGAUUCCAGUUGGUUCAGGAUUUGGUUACAUUGUCGGCUCGGAGACUGCCCGCUUGGCCAAUAACUGGCGUUGGGCGCUGCGUGUUACACCCAUCCUGGGCAUUGUGGCCGUUGUGCUGAUUAUAUUGAUCAAAGAGCCAGAGCGUGGUGAGAGCGAAGGCUCACCACAUUUGGAACCCACCAGCUACACAGAGGAUAUUAAGGACUUGGUGAAGAAUCAUUCGUUUAUGCUUUCGACAGCCGGUUUCACUUGCGUUGCCUUCGUAACCGGUGCGCUCGCCUGGUGGGGACCUAAAUUCAUUUACCUAGGCAUCAAAAUGCAACCAGGCAACGAGGAGCUGUCGCUGAAUGACGUAUCGUACAAGUUUGGCAUCAUCGCCAUGAUAGCCGGAUUGAUUGGUGUGCCAGUGGGCUCGUUUCUGGCGCAACGUCUACGACCACAACACGAAAGCUGUGAUCCAUACAUUUGCGCCUUCGGUCUGCUCAUAUCAGCGCCGAUGGUCUACUUGUCGUUGGUGACACCACAAACCACAACCUCGUUCUGCUUCUUGUUCGUCUUUUUGGCGCAGGUGACGCUGAAUCUAUGCUGGUCCAUAGUGGCGGAUAUUUUGUUGUAUGUUGUCGUGCCGACUCGCCGUUCCACCGCCGAAGCCUUCCAAAUUCUGGUCUCGCAUGCAUUAGGUGAUGCCGGCAGUCCUUACUUCGUUGGCUUGCUCUCUGAAGGAAUCAAGCGACAUUUGCGAACCACUACCUCUCAAACUAGUGAGUUCAGUUUGGGUAUACCUAGCAUGUCACUGACUUUGGAAGAUAGUAGUCAAAAUAUUACCGACAGCUUAUUGUCGAGUAAUGCCACGUCAGAAAGCCCGAAUCUCUUAAUGCAGGCCGCCAGCAUGGUGAGUGAAAAUGUCACAGCGCUGGUAGCGAAUGCCACAAGCUUAUUACAGCAAAAUGCCACCGAUUUCGUCAGUGAAUUACGUGAAGAAAAAAUACUCGAAAUCGACUUGGAGGAUACCGAUAUCAACAGUUUCAAAGCGCUGCAAUAUUCACUCUUUUCCACAAGUUUUAUUGAAGUUUUGGGUGCCGUUUUCUUCUUUUUAACUGCCAUCUACAUAUUAAAGGAUAAGCGUCGAGCGACGCGUUCCACACUUGUUAACGAAUUAAACGAUGUUAGCAAUACAGCUAAUAAAAAUAAACAAUUCGAUUUCGAAGAUUCUGAAUGUAUCGUCCUUUGUACUGAUAUUUCGCGAAUACAACGUGCUUAAGGGGAAACAAAAUUAAUAGCAAAAGUUCAUUUGCUCAAAAAAAUAUUCAGAUUUAGCAUUAUUGGGUUUAAUCGCAGUCAAGCAGCUGAGCAGUGAAGUGCACUUUCAUUAAAUUAUGCUAAUGAAUAAUUGAUAUGCCAGUUAUCCGAUCAGCCAACUUAUCAACCCACAAGCAAUCGACAUAUAACAACCACAUAACCCGCCUAAGCUGGGGAUGUGUUGCGCAGAAGGCAAACAUACAUACAUAUGACUGAAAUAUUAGUUUUAACUAAUUAUUUUGUAGUAGUAAUGAUUAGCAUAGAAUCAUGUGUGCCUCAAGAAGUGGGUGUGUUCCUAUUAGAAACGUGUAAAUGGAUUAUAAUGCAAACAUCUAAUCAUUCAACAUCAAACAUACAUAUUGAAAGCAUGUAUAUACAAAAAAUAAACAUUGAUCAUUCUCAUUUAGCAAACACCAUUAAUCGUUAAGAUGAUUCCUAUUGUGUAUUUAUUUGUAUUAUGAUUUUGAUAUUGUCAAAAUGUAAAAGUUUGUUAAAUGCGCCACAUAAAAACAUAUCUCAUACCACAUAUACAUAUGUGUGUGCAUGUUCAGAGUGUGCAUGGGCAUAGACGAGUGCGGCGCGAUUAUGAGUGUGGAAAUUGCAUACCCCUGUGUAUGUAGUCGAAAGCUCAGUGAUAGACAUCAUAAGAAUUACAAUAAAAAAAACAAACACCAAUUUUUAUGUGCAAAUACAAAUUGUAAAUUGUAUAUUUUGCUGAAUAGUAUUUAGUAAUUUUAAAUUUUUGUUAAUUACAAUUUUAUACUCACGAAACCACUCAUUGCCCUGUGCGGUGCACAUGCUAAUUUUACCGCUAACUGAACAUUUAAAAAGUUUAAUAAUUAUGACAUACAUAUGUACAAACAUAUAUAUAUGUUAUUAAGAUUUUUUUUAAUUUUGAAAUAUGUCUACGCAGACAGCAAGCAUUGUAUAAAGAGGAGUAUAGGUACUAAAUGCACAUUAGGUAUAUACAUAAAUUAGUUAGCAUUACAAUAAUUAGAUAAAUACUAAUUUCUAAAUAAACUAGUGGAAUAAGCAGUGAGUAAGCAGCGGGUGUGCAUUACAACAAUUUCUCUAGUAUUUCUAUUCUAACUAAAAACUUCCAACUCAACUGAAAACCAAAUUGCAUAUGAAAAGCUAAAAUUCUUUUGAAAAAUUUUCAUUCUAAAAAAACUGAACAAUUAUGUCUCAUUUAUUGUAUAUUAACUGCCUUUUCCAACUAUCUUGCUUAAAUUACUUACUUUGCCUGCCGUUUAUAAAUUGUUGUUGUAUAUAUGCAUACCCCCUCGCUACCGUAAUGAAUCUGUUAGUUUUACCAAAUUUCGCAAUGGAGCAGAAUUCAUGAAAUAAGACUGUUUUAGGAUUUGUUAUAUAUACAUAUAUUAUAUAUAAAUUUAAAAUAACUUAAUUACAAAUAUAUUGUAUUGAAUUAAACUUGUACGCAUACUAAGUAAAUACAUAAAUAUUCUUAUACAUAUUAAGUAUUUAUGUAUGUAUAGCAUAAUUUUUGGGUUUAUUGAAUGCUUAUAAAAAAUAAAAAUAAAACAUAUUAAACAUAA